UCUUUCUUUUGAAAAGUAUGUUGGCUUCCUUUCAGCAGAGGUGUCAGGAUAGAUGAGAACUUCACAUAACCUCUUUGAGGAGUGAGCGCUACAGUUUUCCUCUGUGCUUGUCUGUAGUGGGGCAGCUUGACCUUGGGUGUUGAACUUUGCUUCUAUCCUGUUCCAUGAAACCAUGUAGAAGCAGAUGUGAAAAACGAAAAAAGGAAGACUGAGAAAGGAGAAUAUGGGAAAGUUUUCAGAGGGGUCUUCUAGCUAAAAUAAGCAGAAGUCCAGACAACCU
rnacentral:lncRNA from 1 species